rnacentral:sRNA from 1 species
CUCGGAAAAGGAGGGGGCCGGAGGCCUUAGGGCGGCCGUUGCCGCGCGGGGCCCGAGCGGGAGGGAGAAGCUGUCGGCCCUAGAAGUGCAGUUCCACCGCGACUCGCAGCAGCAGGAGGCUGAGACGGCGCCAACCUCGUCCUCCGGUUGCGGGGGCGGUGCGGGCAAACCUCGCGAGGAGAAGAGGACGGCCCUGAGCAAGUCUUUAUCCUCAUCUCUACUCAAGAGCAUACAUUAAUUUUAGGAAUCCUGAUGACAUCCUUCUUUUUAGAGAUCGUUUUGAUGGAUAUAUCUUCCUUGACAGCAAAGGCCUAGAAUAUCCUGCAGUGGUAGAGUUUGCUCCAUUCCAGAAGAUAGCCAAAAAGAAGCUGAGAAAAAAAGAUGCCAAGACUGGAAGCAUCGAAGAUGAUCCAGAAUAUAAGAAGUUUUUAGAAACCUACUGGGUGGAGGAAGAGAAGACCAGUGCCAACCCUGAGACUCUGCUGGGGGAGAUGGAGGCGAAGACAAGAGAGCUCAUUGCUAGAAGAACCACACCUCUUUUGGAAUAUAUUAAAAAUAGAAAAUUAGAAAAGCAGAGAAUUCGAGAAGAGAAGCGAGAAGAACGGAGGAGGAGAGAGUUAGAAAAGAAACGUUUGCGGGAAGAGGAAAAAAGAAGAAGAAAAGAAGAAAGAUGCAGGAAAAAAGAGACAGAUAAAC